GGAGUUAGCCGGUGCUUCUUCUGUGAGUGAUGUCCUUCCUGCCGGCUAUUAACCCGCAGGCCUUCUUCCUCACUGAAAGUGCUUUACAACCCGAAGGCCUUCUUCACACACGCGGCAUGGCUGGAUCAGGGUUGCCCCCAUUGUCCAAUAUUCCCCACUGCUGCCUCCCGUAGGAGUCUGGGCCGUGUCUCAGUCCCAGUGUGGCUGAUCAUCCUCUCAGACCAGCUACGGAUCGUCGCCUUGGUGAGCCGUUACCUCACCAACCAGCUAAUCCGACAUAGGCUCAUCCGAUAGCGCGAGGCCCGAAGGUCCCCCGCUUUCCCCCGUAGGGCGUAUGCGGUAUUAGCCUGGGUUUCCCCAGGUUAUCCCCCACUACCGGGCAGAUUCCUAUGCAUUACUCACCCGUCCGCCGCUCGCCACCAGGGAGCAAGCUCCCCGUGCUGCCGCUCGACUUGCAUGUGUUAGGCCUGCCGCCAGCGUUCAAUCUGAGCCAGUGAUACAACUCUAGA
rnacentral:rRNA from 1 species